CCCCAGCCUGGGCCGCUCAGGGCAGCACCCUUCUGGGUCACUAACCACCCCCCCCACCCUACCUGCUCCUGCUACGAGGUCUUCCUGGCCACAGGCGCCCCGUGACUGCCACCCAGUGGCCACCCUGGGGGUGACAGGCUUUCCGCAAGGCGGCGGCCUGCUUGGCGGUGGACCUGCUCACCCCCUGCUCCUUCUCCCAGCCACAGACACGUCCACCGAGCAAAUGACAGUGGGCUCUGCUCUGCCGGCCCCGGUGGGCCGCCUGCCUGGGGGGCACAGCCAGAGGAAGCCCUCGGCCCGACGGCUGGGGGUCCCCGCUCUCGCGGGACACCGACCCGCAGCAUAAAGGAACACCACCGGGCAGCAGCAGGCGGGGUUGCGAGGGGCAGAACUUCCGUCUGCGGGACAUCGGCCAGUCUCUUCAGACUUUUCUGUGAACAGCAGCUUGUUUUCCCUUUGGGGACCCUCUCCCCACUCUUGGGCUACAGAGCCUGGACACUCAAGCUCGGCGGCUCGGCCUGUCCUGGGACGCCCGAGUUUGGGGUUGACUCUGGUGGGGUCUGGGAGAGCUCAUCCGGAUCCUGGCUCUCCUCUCUUCAUGGGGGGAUCUGAACUGCUGCAGUGCGGUCCCCUUUUGAGGAGAGGCUGCCUGACAAUGAAGUCAUGCAGAGGAAAGCUGGACUGAGGCAGAGGAGGAAUGGGUGAAGCACCUGGAUCGAGCCAUACCUGAAAGCUAAUACCCAGGCUUUUCAGUUACAUAAGCCGAAACAUUUCUUUUGUACAAGUCAUUUUGAACCUUGUUUCUCUACCAUAUGAUCAGAAGACUCGCAGCUAAUGCAAGGUGUAUGGCCCACAAAAGAUGAACAAUCUUAGCCUAUUUUUCUCUCAGGUUUCUUAGUACAGUGAUUUGUAGGAGCAAUUAGUAUAUUAGAAAGCUUUUAUCACAUACUUUGCAAAUGUUGUCUCGGGUUUGUAAUUUGUGUGUGUGUUUGUAUAUUUUUGUUUAUGAAAUUUUUAUCAUGCAUAAUUUUAAAAAUUGUUAAAUAAUCAAAGGUUUAUCCUUUUAAAUAUUUUAAUUUUUCUCUAUAUUCUUAAGGAAAUGCCCUUUAUCAGAUCAAGGAAAUAUUUUCUA